ACACCUCAACUCUCGUGGUUCGCCAUGACGAGCUUGGACUCUGGGGGUCUUGCUGGCCUGCGGUCAGCUCCCCUCAAACGGAUCAGCUAUCCAGUGUUUGGCGGCGUCACAGGUGUGAUAAGUAUCUACGCUUGUGGUUUUCUGCCAAGUAACCUUCAGCGAUGGAGGUUCGCUGGGGCUCAUAAAUGUCUCUCCUCAGUGAAGACAGCUUUGUGAAU
rnacentral:misc_RNA from 2 species